AUUCAGCUGACGAUUCCUAGACAGGACGAAACGCGUGUCCUGGAU
rfam:Schistosoma rodhaini strain Burundi genome assembly, scaffold: SROB_scaffold0001805